rnacentral:snRNA from 1 species
AGCUUUGCACAGUGGCAGUACUGUAGCCAAUGAGGUUUAUCUGAGGUGUGAGUAUUACUCAUUGAAAGCUUUUCCCAUAUUGCAUUUAUUAGCUUAUGAUCUACUUUGUUUCUGUAGGUCACAUAUGG